CGGCAGGCCUAACACUGCAAGUCGAGCGGUAGCACAGAGAGCUUGCUCUCGGGUGACGAGCGGCGGACGGGUGAGUAAUGUCUGGGAAACUGCCUGAUGGAGGGGGAUAACUACUGGAAACGGUAGCUAAUACCGCAUAACGUCGCAAGACCAAAGUGGGGGACCUUCGGGCCUCAUGCCAUCAGAUGUGCCCAGAUGGGAUUAGCUAGUAGGUGGGGUAAUGGCUCACCUAGGCGACGAUCCCUAGCUGGUCUGAGAGGAUGACCAGCCACACUGGAACUGAGACACGGUCCAGACUCCUACGGGAGGCAGCAGUGGGGAAUAUUGCACAAUGGGCGCAAGCCUGAUGCAGCCAUGCCGCGUGUAUGAAGAAGGCCUUCGGGUUGUAAAGUACUUUCAGCGAGGAGGAAGGCAUUAAGGUUAAUAACCUUGGUGAUUGACGUUACUCGCAGAAGAAGCACCGGCUAACUCCGUGCCAGCAGCCGCGGUAAUACGGAGGGUGCAAGCGUUAAUCGGAAUUACUGGGCGUAAAGCGCACGCAGGCGGUCUGUCAAGUCGGAUGUGAAAUCCCCGGGCUCAACCUGGGAACUGCAUUCGAAACUGGCAGGCUAGAGUCUUGUAGAGGGGGGUAGAAUUCCAGGUGUAGCGGUGAAAUGCGUAGAGAUCUGGAGGAAUACCGGUGGCGAAGGCGGCCCCCUGGACAAAGACUGACGCUCAGGUG
rnacentral:rRNA from 1 species